rnacentral:lncRNA from 1 species
ACCCUCAAAUGAAUCAUCUUUGAAUGUGGAAAACUGAUUAUUUUGUGGUAUAGGACCUGUGAGAUUGUUAAAGGACACAUUUAAGUACUCCAAAAAGGUGAUUUCUGCCAACUGUUUGGGAAUUUUUCCUGAAAGACUGUUGAGAGAAAGAUCUAGUGCUUCAAGUUUUGAAAGCUUCCCUAAGGAAGAUGGUAUGCUUCCAAUAAGCAUAUUAUUCGACAAGUUGAGCAAAACAAGACCCUUUAACUCGCCUAUCACUUGUGGUAUCUCUCCACUGAUUUUGUUGCUUGAAAUAUCAAUGGCUAUUAAGCUGUAGAAAUUCUGAAGGUUCUCAUAAACCCUUGAAAACCCUUUGUUUGACAAUGUGAAUGUAUAAAACGUACUUUGUGUUGUACGAAUUUGUCCUGCACUGUUCGAUGUCGAGUAAGAUUCAUACUGUAAUUGACUUGUGUUGGUAGUUUUCAUUGUUUUCCAUCCUUGGAUCAUUUCUGAUGGAAAACUUCCAGAGAAUUCAUUGUGAGAAAGGUCAAUGAUGUGAAGUUUGGGAAAUGUGCAUGUCAUGUUGUCAGAGCACCUAAUGUCUCCAUGAAAUUCAUUGUUACUUAAAGACAAUACCUUCAACUCGGGUAAAUCUUUCAUCCAUAAUGGAAAUGAAUCAUUGAUAUUGUUAUAACUAACAUCAAAGAACUCUAGGCUUCUGCUAUUUACCAAUGCCCUUGGCAACUGACCCUGCAGAAUGUUGUUGCUAAAAUCAAUCCGCUGAAGGGAAUUUCCUAUCAUGUAUGUUUGAGGAAUGGGGCCAGACAAUUUGUUCCCUUUUAGAGCUAGUGUUUGUAAAGAUUGGCUAAAGUUUCCAAGACAUGAAGGAACAUUGCCGCUUAAGUUGUUGAACGCUAAAUCAAGAUAUGUGAGUGAUUUGAGAUUGCAUAUUAAUGGGGUUAUUUCUCCUGUCAAUGAAUUUUGGUUAACAACUAAGCCUUGUAGACUUUCUUUUUCCCAUAACCAAUUGGGUAGCGAUGUUAUAUUGUUUAAUGCCAACGCAAGAUAUUCCAGCUCACCGAGAUCUCUUAUAAAUGUUGGAAUCUCAACUAAAUUGCAUGAAUCCAAUUCUAAGCUUUGAAUUCGAGAAUCGGUCAUAUGGGAAGACCUUUUUCCACUGUACAAUGACAGUUUGUUGAAUGAUAAAUUAAGAACAGCUAGCUUUUUGAGUUUCAGAAACGUGUCAAGCUCUAGCUUUCCAUGCAAAGAAUUAAAGGGUAGGUCCAAGACAACUAAAUUUGUUAGGUUCAUAAUCCAAGAUGGUAUUUCACCCUUUAUAUUGCUAUUUUCUGCACUUAAAAGUACUAGCUGAGUGAGAUUUGCAAAAGAUAAUGGGAUCUCACUGCCAAUAUUGACUGAGGAUAUCUCCAAGGAAAUUAAUGAUGAAAGCUUACCUACCCAUGAGAAUGUCUCAAUAGUAAAUUCAUUGUGACUAAUAUCCAAUAAUCUUAGUUGGGUAAGAUUUGCCAAGGAUGCAGAAGGGUUGCCCCUAAAUUUGUUUUUUGAAAGGUCUAUAUCCAUGAGUUGUGUGAGGUUGCCAAGCGAAGAAGGAAUAUAUCCAAAAAAAUGGCAAUCUGAAAUUGAUAGAAGAAUUAAAGAACUAAGCUUCCCAAUGGAUACUGGCAGUGUACCAUAGAAACCUGUUUGAUCAAGUCCUAACCUGGUGAGUGAACUAGACUGAAACUCAGGCAAACUUCCAUUGAGAUUUGGAUUAUAUCUCAAAUCCAGAAGUUCCAAGUUUGGAAGAUGAAAUACUCCAACCGGAAACGCUCCAUACAAUUCAGAAUUGUAUAGAGAUAGUGCUUUCAACGAAGUUAGAUUUGUGAGUGUCUCUGGUAAAGUAGAUGAAAUUGUCACAAAACUAAGAAAAAGGAUCUCAAUUUUUGUUGAGUUUUGAAUUAUGCUUCUGAGACUAGACAAUUUGAGUUGCAACAAAUUGGAUGUACUACCUUUAGGAUGUACUAUAGCUCUGUAGCCUAGAUCAAGAGACAACAACUUUGACAACUGUGAAACAUGUGGUGGAAUUUCUCCAGAAAAUAAGCUAAGGGAAAGGUUCAGAUGUUUUAAUUGUGAAAGCUGACCUAUCUUGGACGGGAUUGGAGAGUAAUUGAAGUCAUUGUCAGAAAGAUCAAGAACUCGAAGGUGUACAAGGCGAAAGAGACUGCUAUUUGCAUCCAUUUUACCAUAGAGUUGGCUGCUACUAAGAUCAAUGUGAAUCACUUGAUUUGUGUGCUCAUGACAUUUAAUGCCAUCCCAUGAACAACAAUCUGUGCUGGAGUUCCAAGAUGCUGUUUUUGGAUAACCGAGAAGAUUAUCAGAGGCUAAGUUAUUGAUGACAAAGCCUUCCUUAAAUUGCAACAAGGCAUGGCUUUCAUAUUGAUGACACUUUGGCUGAAUUUGAGGAAAACAUGUAGUAAAUGUGAAAGUGAAAAGUGAAUACAGGAAAAGAAAUUUUAGUAACAAAACAAGAGACCUGACAAACACCAUUGUAUUUUAAUAUUUUGAAGUGAAUGUUUUGGAUGAAAAGCUAGACACAUGCUAAGUGAUUCUUAUAGUAAAUGAAAAUGUUUUGUAGUGAAUUUGAUUAUCAUUGACCGUGCAUUUUGGUUUAGCCCGUUGGAGAGGUUAACUUGAUCAACUCCAAAAAUACUUUGUCUCCUUUAUUUCCUUAAAUUCCAGGAAGGUAUUUGCAUCUUGGCUCUUAUCGUAGAUUCUACAACCAAUGCAUAUUAUACAAGACUUUGAUGUAACAUGAUAUGAUCUUUAAUCAAAAUAUGUGGCCAAUCCAAUACAGAAGGUCUAUUUGAUGUUUUAUCAUGUAGUGAGGCUUUCUUAUCUUCCACAUAUUUCAUUUUCUGUCCAUUUUUGGUUUUUCUUUUCUAAUUUCAGUACAUUUGUCUCUAUUGUUUGACUCAGCAAUUUCCUAUGACUUUCUUGCUUCUUGCAUUCUUGGAAAACAAUUUAAUUGACUUAGUCAAUUGUUCUUGUGCAAUUUUAUUUCAUACCGACAUAACAAUUUGUUUUCUCCCUUCAUAUACUCACCAUUUUAUUAUUUGGUUUUAUGCAUAAAAUUCAAUCUAGAACCAUGCAAGAGCUUGCACAAAUUUAUUGAAAAAUUAACUAUUUUAUAUGUACAAAUUUUUUAUUAAAAAACGCAUUUUAGGGAAAAGAUACUUGGAAAAAUGAAUGAAAUUUGUACCGUCCUAAUGUUGAGAUUUCUUACUAUGAUUCGGGGUCUGUUUGAUUGUUUGGAGAGAAGGUUUUGUUGGGAAGAAAAUAAACUAUUGAGAAAUAUUACGUUUUCUUUGUUUGAGAGAUUAUUUGUAGAGAAUAAUAAAUUAAAUAUACUAACAUUAAUAUGUUUUAAAUUUUGAGACUUCUAUAAUAACAUAAAUUGAAUUUAGAAAAUUUAUCUAAAUUCUCUCAUCCAAUGCAAUUUUUGAACUUUCUCAAAUUCGAAGGAUUUUGUAUUGCUCAUGAAAAAUAACAGUUCAAAGUUUUCUCUUUCCAAACCCCAACAUUCUCCCAAAUAGACUCUUGGUGAUGCAAAAAGAGUUAAUCAAGCAAGAGACUAUAGUAUGACAGUUUCUUUUCCCACCUACAAUAAAUACCUCUCACCCUAUUUUGGGAUUCUAAAAUCCAAAAAAAUGGGAGGAUUUUAAAUGUAUUUUAUGCUUUUGAAAGAUACAAUCCAAAAUGCAGUUGGGCACGCAAGAGGCAAAUAAGGUGAGAUAAGAAAUUCACUUAUGGCAUACUUCUAUAUUUUCCUUUUGACAAAAUGUGGCAAUCUUCCUAAGCUUUGCCCCCAAUCUUCUAAAUAAUAUAAGAAAGACAUUAAGAAAGUAAUGCCUGAACAAAUCUAUCAAAGUUUAUUUCAUAAGAAAAUUUAUUAUCACAAUUCACAACAUACAAAUUCAAUAUAAGUGUUUUUAAAUCUGAACAUAAUUUAAUCAAAUUUGACAAAAGAUCUCCCAUCUAUAUUACAGAAGAUUUUACUUAUUUGUAUCACAAUCUUCUCUAGUCUCUAAUGUUCGGCAACUCGGGUGUAGAAUGCAGACACAACAAUUAGUCCAAAUGAACAUACAAGCUAUAACAAUGAGUAAUCAGACUAAAAUAUAAAGACAACACUGUCAUGAACUCUCGACUUUUGAUUCUGAGCCACACAUUCUGAAAUCCACAUAAGAUUUCUUAUCUCCUGCUCCCUUAACCUCAUAUAUGCAAAGAAAACAGCAUAGUGAAACUGCAAAUAUAGACAAAUUAAGAUGGUUUAGUGAAUGAAUAAAACAUACGUACACCAUACAAAAACAUUUAUAAUUAAGCCAGUCAAUAUCCUUGCAGCUUAAUAUUAUGAUAUUCUGAACUGUUAAAAAAAUUAACCUGUUGCUCAAAUGCUAAGCAAUGCCUCUUGACUUCCUCCUCAUAGAAUGCCUUGUCAAGCAUCUGGCUCUCCCCAUACGAUAACUUCGCAAAGAUAGAUUGAUGAGGGUAUUUUUCCAUAACAGCACGAACCUACGCGAGCAACCAUGUAAAAGAAUUAAGGCUAAAAAAGCAAUACUAAAAGAAAUCAACUAGAAAUCAGUGGAUGUUAUAGACAACAAUGAUGAAUCUCAAAUAUUUCAGGGCCGAUACCAACAAGAAAUUGGUAGCCAAAAGCAACUCAAAUUGCAAAUGAAGUAAAAAUGAAAGUGCUCAAAAAUAUAAAAUGAAAGUUUCAAAGAGAUCCCUCAAACAAGAAUCAUCUACAAGUAGGGCAGUCUCCAGGUGGUACAGGUUUAAGGUCAUGCAACGGCAGUUAAACCAGGGAUAAGAGGAAUAAUAUAGUUGCAGCACAUUACAAUGACUUAGGUACUAAUAAAAAAAAAUCGAUAAAUAAUCUACUGCCCUAAGAAACACAAUCUAGAAGGGUCCAAGAAGCAUACAAAUUGAAAGAGGGAAAACACUGUACAUCAGCAAUGCAACAACCAAACGUUUAACACAAUUGAGAUGCAAAUCAUACCUGAUCAAUGUCCUCACAGACAGCAAGCUCCUCAUGACCAUAUGAAUAGCUGUUAAAAAUAAGUUGGUGAUUAGUAAAAUAAGCAUUACAAAUUAGUAUAUUGAUUUUCUUUUUCUUUUUUUUAAAAAUAUUUAACUGAAGGAUUAGAGCUUACAACAAACCGAAGUUAGAGUACAACUUCCUACGGUCAUCUCUGGUAAGCUCAGUUCCAAUGCUGCACAAUGUGGAAACCAUGGAUGCCAGUUAUGCAGAUAUCCAGAUAAACAAAAAGAUUAUACAAAGACUGCUUAGUACUUUACCUAUUGAUGGUAAUAUUAACAGCCCUUCUAUCACUGUCUGUGACACUUUGCAUGGGGAAACUUUCCAAUAUGUCAUCACAAUCCUCCUCUACAUCAAUGUAAGUUGCGGUAACAUGAAAUUGAUUUUUUAUGCAAAUUAUUUCAUUUUUGUUUUACUCUUGAUUUGAAAAACGUUUUUGGUGGUGCAGGGUAGAAUCCUCAUAUAAUGAAGAAAUUAAUUAAAUAUUGCAUGAUCUUUAUUGCUUUUGGAGUAAAAGUAACUAGCAGAAAACGAAGACUAUAUAUAACAAUUCAAUUCAAUUCACCCAUUUGGGGUUGGCCUAGUGGUUGGCUUGGGAUCUUGGAGUUUGCUCCUCCAGAGGUCUCAGGUUCGAUUCCCUCUGGAGCCAAUUUCGGUGGGCUAAGUCCAUACAGAGCUUGCUCUGGCUUUAAAUGGGGCCCCCGCAAGUGGGCGGUGGGAUUGGUCCCUCGGAUUAGUCGAUUCAUGAUCGGAUACCGAGUUUUCAAAAAAAUUCAAUUCAAUUCAAAGCACGCUCUUUCGAACAACCUUUAUUGCUUUUACAUACAAAGGAAACUCUUACAAUAUGCAAUUACAAGAACAGAAGGAAACUAAAACAAAUAAGAACAUAAAUAGAGAGGACUAAUAUCUUUAUUGCAUUCGACUCACAAGACCCUUUUAAACCAUAACAUAAAAACAACUCAUUAAUGUCUCUUAAAAAUCUUAUUAACCAAAAUUAUAACUGAAACGCUAAGGCAAUCUCUAUACCAUGCAAAUACCUGCAGAAAGUAAGUGUUUCCCAAUGCCACUCCAGCAACAAGUCCACCGCCAUAUCCAAUCAGAACUACUGUCCAGUAUAAUUCAAUGAAAGAUUUUGAGUCGUCAUCAUCAUCAUCAUCAGAAGUAGAAGGCCCUGCAGGAUCUAUACACUUCUUUAACAGCUGAUCCCCACACAGACCUUGGUUACCCUCAAAUGAAUCACCUUUGAAUGUAGAAAACUGAUUAUUUUGUGGUAUAGGACCUGUGAGAUUGUUAAAGGACACAUUUAAGUACUCCAAAAAGGUGAUUUCUGCCAACUGUUCGGGAAUUUUCCCUGAAAGACUGUUGAGAGAAAGAUCUAGUGCUUCAAGGUUUGAAAGCUUCCCUAAGGAAGAUGGAAUGCUGCCAAUAAGAUUGUUAUUCGACAAGUUGAGCAAAACAAGACCCUUCAACUCGUCUAUGAUUUGUGGUAUUUCUCCACUGAUUUUGUUGCUUGAAAUAUCAAUGGCUAUCAAGCUGUAAAACUCUUGAAGCUUCUCAUAAACCCUGUCCAUCCCUUUGCUUGACAUUGUGAAAGUAAGAAACUUAUUUGUUGUCACAUGAUAAUGUCUAUUGUUCAACCUCGAGUAAAAUAACUUUUCCUCGUAUUGUAACUGACUUGGGUUGGAAGUUUUCAUUGCUUUCCAUCUAAGGAUCAUUUCUGAUGGAAAAUUUCCAGAGAAAUCAUUGUGAGAAAGGUCAAUGAUAUGAAGCUUUGUAAAUGUGCAUGUCAUGUUUCCAGGGCACCUAAUGACUCCAUGAAAUUCAUUGUUACGUAAAGAUAAUACCUUCAACUCAUUUUUCCAGGGCUUGUGAUUUGCCAGAUAUAGUUACUUGCCUUUUGUUUCAAUCUCAUUUUUGCAUGAACCGCCCUUUCGGGUUUUCGGCUCAUCGAGACGCUUAUUCUUGCCUGAGUUGCGUACAAUCUCAGCGAGCUUUUUCAUAUUUGUUUUUUUUUUGUCCCUUAUUUUUGCCUGGAUCGCCCUUUCGGGUUUUCGAUCCACCGGAAAGCGCAUUUUUGCCUAGGCCGCCCUUUCGGGUUUUCGACCUACCACGCUGUUCUUUUCAUAUUUCUAGGCAAAGUAUUUCUUGACUAUAUCGGCAUUCACUGGAUUUGGAAGUUCUACACCAUCCAUGUGUGUAAGGAUUAAAGCACCACCGGAGAAGGCCUUCUUGACAACAUAAGGACCUUCAUAGUUAGGCGUCCACUUGCCCCUUGGGUCGGGUUGCUGGCUUACCCUCCUUUUCAAUACAAGUUCCCCUACCUUGAAUUCUCGAGGAUGGACUUUCUUGUCAAAAGCAGUCUUCAUUCUUGCUUGAUAUGACUGUCCACGAGCCAUGGCAUCCAUACGUUUUUCCUCAAUCAAAUUCAACUGAUCAUACCGGCUUUGGCACCAUUCAGCCUCAGAUAACUUUGCUUCCAUGAUCACACGGAGAGAUGGGAUCUCCACUUCCAAAGGAAGAACUGCUUCCAUACCAUAUACAAGAGAGAAAGGGGUUGCCCCAGUUGAACUGCGCACAGUAGUACGGUAGCCAUGCAGAGCAUAGGGUAACAUCUCAUGCCAGUCCUUGUAAGUGGUUACCAUCUUCUGGACAAUCCUCUUGAUAUUCUUGUUGGCGGCCUCAACUGCACCAUUCAUCUGAGGUCUAUAGGGAGAAGAGUUAUGAUGCUCGAUUUUGAAUUCUUCACAAAGAGCUUGCACCACAUUGUUGUUCAGGUUGGUACCAUUGUCGGUAAUAAUCUUGCUGGGAACACCAUAUCGACAGAUGAUGUUGUUCUUGAUGAACUUAGCUACCACUUGCUUGGUCACAUUGGUAUAAGAUGCUGCUUCAACCCAUUUGGUGAAGUAGUCAAUUGCCACUAAGAUGAAACGAUGACCAUUUGAAGCCUUCGGUUCAAUUCUUCCAAUCAUGUCGAUGCCCCACAUUGAAAACGGCCAUGGGGAUGAAAUAACAUUGAGAGCGUGCGGAGGCACAUGAAUCUUAUCAGCAUAGAUUUGACAUUUGUGGCACUUUCUGGCAUACUGGUAGCAAUCAUGCUCCAUGGUCAUCCAGUAGUAACCUGCUCGUAACAACUUCCUUGACAUAGUAUGCCCUGUAGCAUGGGUCCCGAAGGUACCGUCAUGUACAUCAUGCAUUAACUGCUCUGCUUCAUGUUCAUCAACACAUCUUAACAAUACCAUGUCAUAGUUUCUCUUGUACAGAAUAUCUCCAUCUAACAGGAAUCUACUGGCCAAUCUUCUCAGGGUCUUCUUAUCUUGUUUGGAAGCACCCGGCGGAUACUCACGGCUCAGCAAGAACUGUUUGAUGUCGUAGUACCAGGGUUUAUAGUCAACCACAUUUUCACCAGCCUGAUCGAUCACAUCCCCAAUAGCAAACACAUGUGAAGGUCUUUCAAGGCGUUGCACUUUGAUUAUUGGCACAUCAUUCCAAUGGUUUACUCGGAACAUGGAGGAUAGAGUAGCAAGAGCAUCAGCCAUUUGGUUCUCAUCACGAGGAAUAUGGUGCAGCUCAACCUUUGUAAAAUAUGUCAGCAAACGUCUAGCAUAAUCACGAUAAGGAAUCAACUUAGCAUGGUGGGUCUCCCAUUCACCCUUUAUCUGAUUGAUGACGAGCGCAGAAUCUCCAUAGAUGUCGAGGUGUUUGAUUCUCAUGUCAAUUGCUUCCUCGAUCCCAAAGAUACAUGCUUCGUAUUCAGCCAUGUUGUUUGUACAUUCGAACAGAAUCCGGGCUGUAAAAGGAAUGUGAUGCCCUUGCGGGGAUACAAUGAUUGCCCCAAUUCCUUUACCAUAAGCAUUGACAGCACCAUCAAAGACUAAACCCCACUUGCUAUUGGGAUCUGGACCUUCACCAAUCAACGGUUCUUCGCAGUCUUUUGAUUUCAAAUACAUGAUCUCUUCAUCGGGGAAAUCAAACUCAAUUGGUUGGUAAUCAUCAAGAGGUUGGUAGGCAAGAUGAUCGGCAAGAAUGCUACCUUUGAUUGCCUUUUGAGUUUUGAACACAAUAUCAUAUUCAGACAAAAGCAUCUGCCAGCGUGCAAUCUUCCCAGUAACAACAGCUUUCUCAAAGAUAUACUUUAUCGGAUCCAUUCUGGAUAUCAACCAAGUUGUAUGAUUCACCAAAUAAUGACGCAGGCGUUUAGCGGCCCAGGCCAAAGCACAACAAGUCUUCUCAAGCAUUGUAUACCGAGUUUCACAAUCGGUGAACUUCUUGCUUAGAUAGUAGAUAGCAUGUUCUUUCUUUCCAGUCUCAUCUUGUUGACCAAUUACGCAUCCCAUGGAUUCAUCAAAUACUGCCAAAUACAUAAUCAAAGGUCUUCCUUCCACGGGUGGGACAAGGAUAGGUGGUUCCAGCAGGUAAUUCUUGAUGCUAUCAAAAGCUUCUUGACAUUCAUCAUUCCAUACAAUAGGUUGAUUCUUUCUGAGUAGCUUGAAGAUCGGCCCGCAGGUUGCGGUCAUGUGAGAUAUGAAUCGGGAGAUGUAAUUCAAACGUCCGAGGAAACCUCUGACUUGCUUCUCGGUAUGUGGAGCUGGCAUUUCUCGGAUGGCCCGGACUUUAUCAGGAUCGACUUCAAUGCCUUUUUGGCUGACAAUGAAGCCUAAUAACUUCCCGGAUCUGACGCCGAAUGUACAUUUGUUGGGAUUCAAUCGAAGCUUGUAUUUUCUCAACCUUUCGAACAUCUUUGUCAAAUAUUCAACAUGUUGCUCCUCAUCUGUUGACUUUACAAUCAUGUCGUCCACAUAUACUUCGACUUCUUUGUGAAUCAUGUCAUGAAACAGAGUAGUCAUCCCUCUUUGGUAGGUGGCACCAGCAUUUAUUAAGCCGAAUGGCAUCACUUUAUAGCAGAAAGUACCCCAUGGAGUGAUAAAAGACGUCUUUUCCCUAUCUUCAGGAGACAUUUUGAUCUGAUUGUAACCGGAGAAACCAUCCAUGAAGGAGAACACCUUAGACUGAGCAGUAUUAUCAACGAGCACAUCAAUAUGAGGUAAUGGAAAGUUGUCUUUUGGACUAGCUUUGUUCAGGUCUCUGAAGUCAACACACAUCCGGACUUUACCAUCCUUCUUUGGCACAGGUACAAUAUUGGCAACCCAUUCAGGGUACUCAACUGUCAUGAGGAAACCCGCAUCAAUUUGUUUUUGAACCUCGCUCUUAAUCUUGAGAGCCAUAUCUAGAUGAGUCCUUCUCAAUUUCUGCCUGACGGGAGGACAUUCAGGCUUGGUGGGGAUCCGAUGCUCCACAAUCAUAGGAUCUAGACCUGGCAUAUCUUCAUACGACCAUGCAAAAAUAUCCGGAUAUUCCCGGAGGAGUUGGAUGAUCUUCUUUUUAACCCCUUCCUCUAGAGCAGCACCGAUCUUGAUCUCUUGCUUGUUUUCCUCGGUACCUAUGUUGAUAAGCUCAAUCUCUUCCUGGUGAGGCUGAAUGGCUUUCUUUUCUUGCUCAAGUAACCGAGUGAUCUCAUAUGGUAUGUCAUCACCUUCCUCAUCUUCGGCCUCAUACACUGGGAAUUCAAAAUUCGGAGGGAAUGCAGGGUUACUGUGCCCAACGGGUUUAUUAUAGUUUAAUCUGCGUAAAAUGGUUGGAUGAUUUUAGAAAGGGGUUUUUUAUGCAGAUUUUUGAAAUUAAUAAGAAAAAUACAGAUGUUUUGGUUUUUUCUGGCAUUACCAUUAUUUCCAAGGAAAAAAGGCACUAAAAAAAAGCAGCCGUGAAAGAAACGACAAUUUUUUUUUUUUAUCAACGGCAAUGCCGAAACAAACAUGCCCUUACAGAAAAUAUCACUCUCGCUUUGGGCAGAGCGAGAGGAUUGUUAUUUUGAAAAACAAAAGCACUAAAGCAACAAGACACAUUACUCGGAAACAUGCAUGAUUGAAGGAAUGAUGAUGGCAUCCCAAUUUCUCGCAAUGCCUCCUGGUAUAACAAACAUAGGCCUAUGAUCAAAUCCAGUCGCCUUUUCAGUAAUUGCAUUGACAAACCCAGCACUGUAGAAGGUUCCUGUGGAGACUCCUGAAGUUGGGGAAUAUCCGAGACCCUCUUUGUGCUUAUUCUCAAGGAGUUGUAUUAACUUGCCCCAGCCAGCAGCUUGUCCUUCUUGGAUGUCAUUGACAGUUAGAUAAUUGUCGUUCAUCAGGCUCUGGAUGUCAUUCUGAACAACGUAGCAACCCCAAGGAUUAUGGAAGCAUUCUGGGCAACUGGCAUGAUCAUGGUCAAACAGAGAGGCUUGGCAUAAUUUGAUGUGUAGUGGCACCAGAGGAGUUGUAACAUUACGGACGUCCAGUCCGGGAGCUUCCUCAUAUACCUCAAUCAUGUUCACAGCAGCGUGAUUUGGAAGAGGGUUGUCGAGGACAUGAGGGACGUUGUUCUCAAAAGUCAACUUUCCUUGGUUAAUGAGCUUCUUCACAAUGUAUUUCAAAGCAUAGCAUCCUUCGACAUCAUGACCCAGAGCACCUUGAUGGAAAUCACAUUUGAGGUCAGACCGGAACCUGGGAGGUAACGGAUCAGGUGGAGGCUUCCCCUGUCUGAUUGUGCAGUGCCCUCUGAGAAGUAGAGUCGGGAGCAACUCAGCAUAUAUCAUUGGUAUCAGAGGAAAGGUAGGUCUAGCUUGUUGCUGCUGUCGUUGUUGGUGAACCGGUGGAUGAUUGUUCCUGGGCGGCUAGCAGAGCAGUCAUGGUGUCAUUGGCCUUAGCCAAUUCUUCCCUCAGAGAAGUUAACUCGGUACGGAGCUGAACAUUUUCUUCUUCCAUAGCUACCAAAUUCUUCUUUCUGUACAAUCUAGUCCGAUGGAUUCUGUCAGGUUCGUAGAUUUUUCGAGCACGAGCCACCUUUUGAACUGCGGCAGAAGAACCAGGAGGCAGUGAGCACUUGGAAGCUUUUGUGAUUGAUGAAUGAUGCAUAUGAUGCAUGAUAUGUACAAAUGCAAAUGCAAAAAUGACUCUUUUUGUCAUCGAAGGGUUUUUUAGACAAAUCAGAAACUUUGUAAACAUUAUUUAACAAGAUCUCAAUAGCGUUCAUAUCCACAAAGCUGUCAAGAUUCGGAAAGAGAAUGAGCCCAUAGAUAAGCAAUGCAAGAAUAGCCUCGAGUGCGUCCUGACAAGUAGCUUCGAGAUUAGCUUGCUCAAGUAGAUACUUGGAAGUGAACCCUCGGAUGUGAGACUUGGUAGUAAGAUGCUUGGAGACAUCAGAAGUCUUGAGAUAGGGAUCCUUGGCAAUGACCAGAGGAGUAAGAGAAGUCCCGGGACCGGUGAAAGGCGUCUUCUCGGCUAUAGGUAAACCCACUAGAUUGGAGUAAGCCUCGAGAGUAGGAACCAACUGGAAGUCCGGGAAAGUGAAGCAACGGAAGCUCGGAUCAUAAAAUUGCACUAGAGUGUGCACUAGCUUCUCUUCCACAUCGGUUCGGAGCAAAGUAAGCAAUCCCCCAUACCGGAGUCGGAACCCUGUUUGACUCUUGACCUUGAGUGCCAACUCUCUUAAACUGACCAAAUCCACUUCCUUGAACUUGUAGCACUUAGUCUUCUUCAUACCUGUGAUUAUUUACAAAAAUUUCCAUUUGUUUAAGCCCUUCGAUGAAUGCAUGAAAAAUGUUUAUGUAUGAAUGCAUGUAUGCAUGAUUGUGUUGUUUAGUUACAAAGAACAAGGUGGGUUGAGAUUCAAAGUAACAGGGCCACGGAUGGACACGGCGUCCGGUGAACUAAGGCUUUGGAUAGUAGUAACCAAGGUUCUAACACAGUUCCCAAACUGCAACCUCUCUCACAUAUAUCAUGGUAGUACAGGACGACACCCGUUCCAUGAUUAUUUGUGAGAAGGUCUAGUUUGAGUGUAGUAUCGCGUGACGACUAAAGUUUGAGACAACACUCAAUUUAGCCACCGCACUACGUCCUAAAAGGCUAGGAUGGGUUUGGUAACUACGGUUCAUAGCUUCGUCGAACAAUUGAAAGUGAAGUGCCUAAGCAUGACAACACACGCCGACAAUAUCACCUUCAAAAUGCCUCAGCUAUGUGAGAUUGAUCGCAUAAUCCAAUACACGAGGCAACCCCCGGAUCGAAUUGUCGAUUAUAUCUCUACCUAAACAUAAGUUCACUCAGCCCGGGUAUAGGACUUUUGAUAUUCUCACCCCACACGUCAAAUGAAAGUAAACAAAAUUUUCACAUGUAUGAAUAAUAAAGUAAAACAUAAGCAAAAAGAAAACUAGGUGUGACCCGCUCUAAGAAAAAAAAGUCCCCAGUGAAGUCGCCAUUUCUGUUAUCGCGAUUUCGGGUGUCAAGCCAUUGAUUGGACUUGAACCUUUCAAUCCUCGAUGUUCUCUAUUUUUUUUGGGGAAAGGUAAAUGGAGAGAAACCCUUAAAAAGUUCUAGGUUCGGGGGUCGAUUUCGUUACGGGAAGGUGUUAGGCACCCGUCGCGACUAUAGUAUCCUAUAGGAACCGUUUUCUAAUUUUGCCUAUGCUUUACUUUUUAUAUUUAUGAAAGGAAUGUUGUUUAUCAAGAAUGGAGGGAGAGAUAGUUGAGUUUGAUUUUAUUUAAAAAAUGAUUUUUGAAGAGGAGGAGAGAAGCCGUAAGGCAUAGAAGAAAAAUGUCGAAUUUGAUCUUUAUUUUUAUUUCACAAAAAGGCAUUGGAGUUUUGACUCCAAAGUUUGUUUGAAAAAAUUUAGCCUAUUUCGAAGAAGAAAUUUCACUAGGCGUCGAAUUCCUAAACAUACACCUAAAUCGAUAAUCAUGCAACGUGUGUGCGAGUGUCGGUGCUUGUGUCGGUGUACAUUAUUAGAGAUAAUCCAUAGUCCGUUACAUUUUGUCCUAGUAUACAUUCUAUGGUCUUGCGAAAAUUAAAAGAAAGCUAAACUAAAAUUAUUACAAGCCAUUUGACAUAGAAAUAAAAGUGGGAAGAAACCAAACUAAUGGAGAUAGUGGUGAAAUGGAGAAAUACUCAUGAAAUGAAUGGAACAAAAGAAGUGAGAUGAUUAGUAAAAUAAAGCAUAGAAUAAAAGAAGUGCACAAAAAAUAUUAAGAGGAAAGACAUAAAAGAAACUAAUAAAGUGACAAAAUGUGCAUGAAAAUGGUUAUAAGGCUCUAGCAUAUGUAUGACCCAUAAUCCCUUCAUUAUGGCAUUUUUAGAAGUCUUGCUUUGUGCCAUAAUGUGGAAAAAAAAAUGGGACAUAUUUGAUGCUAAAGUUUAUGGCACACUUUCAAAAUAUUUUGGCACUUUAUUUACUAGUAAAAAUGCAUACUAAUUGCAAGACAAGAAGGGAAAUGAAAUUGAGAUACACAAGCAGCAAGUUAAACAUGUAAUCAGCAACAAACUUAUCACAAAAUUGCAUCCCAAAAAUUCAUAUCACAUGUCAACAUUUCAUGAGGAAUACACUACUAAAAAAUGCACAAAUUUAUGUCUAAAUACACUAAUUAACCAAGAAAUAUCACAUGCUUUUUUUUAUCAUUUUAAAACCAUUGAGAAGUAUAAAAAAAACAUGAAAAUACAUCAAGAAACAUGUGAUAAUUUUUGGAGAUUUUUUAGAGAAAAUUUAAGCAUGCAGAGGUUCAAACAGCAAAGAAAUAUGGUGCAGAUAGCAAGAAAAAAUAGCAAAAAAAGACAAAGAAAGGCCCAAACCCAAGUCUAAAGAUCUGGAAGCACAGGAAGCGUUGGAUUAAUCUGAAGGUUGAGAAAGAAAGGGAAGAACUGAAAAUAAACCGGACCGGUUCAGAGUUCUAUAUAAGUGAUUUGAUUCCGGUUUUUUUCAUUUCCUCCUUUCCUUUCUCUUUCUUCUUUCUUCUAGAGAGAGAAGCUCUCCCCUCUCUCUAGAAACACGGUGCCGGCGAUGAAGAGGGAGGUGGCGGCCGACCCUAGCGCCGCCGCGCCGGAAUUUUUCUCUUUUUUUUUUUUUUUAAAUUUUAUACCAAAAGUUUCGUUUCCUCCUCCUCUACUCAAAUCCGGUGCUAGUUUUAAAAAGGGGUGAGAGAUUCGUCGUAGAUCUACGUUUGAACUUUCGGAAUUUUUUCACUCUUUUUGUAAAAAAAAACUUACGGAUCUAGAUAUCCUUUUCGCUCUAGAGUCCGAAUCCGGCCUCAAAAUUUCAAAAAUCCGAACGUACAAGCCUAGAUCUACAAAUCUUGAUUCGUAACAAACUUUUCACAUGUGUAUAUGCGCGAAAACGAGGGAAAAAAGUGUUACCGUCGUCGUGAAACGGAGAAAAAAAAUCCGAGCCUCCUCUUCUCUCCGCCGCGCGCGCGCGGAUUUGCUCCGGUGGUGCCGCUUUUGCUCGAAAAUCCGGUACGGAUUUGGUGUUGGUGUGAUGAUUCGCGGUGGUUUUGAAUGAUUCCGGUUCGGAUUUGUUGAUUUUGUGAUGAUUUGAGUUGGUUUUGAGUGAAUCCGGUUCGGAUUUGUUGAUUUUGUGAAGAUUUCUUCUUGGUGUUCUUGGAGAAUUUUUGGUGAUUUUCUGUUUUGGAUCUAACUGAUUUUGGAGAGAGAAAGAAAUUUCUGUUUUUGUGAUGUGACUGAUUCUGAUUUUUUUUAUUUGGAUCUGACCCAUCUAUUUAUAGCCUGCCAUGUGUAUUUGUGGGCCAAUGAGAAAAUGCCAUCUGGACUGGGACUGAAGUGUGCGAAAAUUCUGGACAAAAAUGCCCCUGGGACCUUUUCUGCAAAAAAAAAUAAUAAAAAAGGACUGGACAGCAAUUAAAAAUGGACAAAAAAAAUGAAAAUUAAAAGGUUUUGGACUAAAUUGUGAUUUAAAAAUAAAAUUGAACUAAAAAAAGUAAUUUUGACAAACGUAAAGUGAAACUAAAAUUAAAAUCAACAAAAGGACUAAAACGAACCAAUUACUGACAUGAGGUAUUUUAAAAUACCUCCCUGUCGAAAUAUUAAUAGGAAAAGACCAAAAUGCCCCUAGAGACUAAACUGACUCAAACUGACUCAGAUGCAAUUUUUGAAAUGAUUUUUAAACAAAGACUCAACAAUGAUUUGUACAGACAAGUUGAAAAGACUCAGAGGCAAACACAGGGACUAAAAUGGGUUCCACUGCAGGAAAUGACCAAAAUACCCUUUUGUAUGAUUUUUGAAAUAAAAUGCAAGAAAAGUGAUGCGACGUUUCAGAGAGUUCUUAAAUGACUUGUAACAUCAGAAAAGACAGAGGCAGUAAAAUAUGUUUAAAAAAAGAGUAAAGAUUCAGAGUAAAAUAACAGAGAACUGACAAGUAUCAGUGUUACAAAAGAAAUUUGAACGAGUAUUUUUAGGUCCAAAAUCAGGGUAUAACAAGACUCAUGAGUGACUUGAGAUUGCAUAUGGAUGGGGAUAUUUCUCCUGUCAAUGAAUUUUGAGAAACAUCUAAGUUUUUUAGACUUGCUUUCUUCCACAACCAAUUGGGUAGCGAUGUUAUAUUGUUGUUUGACAACAUAAGAGAUUCCAGAUCAUCCAGAUAUCUUAUAUAUGUUGGAAUCUCAACUAAAUUGCAUGAAUCCAAUUGUAAGAUUUGAAUACGAGAAUCGGUCAUAUUUGAAGAACUUUUCCCACUAUACAAUGACAGUUUGUUGAAUGAUAAAUCUAGAAAAACUAGCUUUCUGAGCUUCAGAAACGUGUCAAGCUCUAGCUUUCCAUGCAAAAAAUUAGAGCGUAGGUUCAAGCAUGCUAAAUUGGAAUGAUUCAUUAUCCAUGAUGGAAUUUGACCCUUUAUAUUGCAAUCUGUUGCAUCUAAAUAGUGUAGCUGGGUGAGAUUUGCAAAAGAUAAUGGGAUGGUUUCGAUAUUAAAUUCAUUCAAACCAACAGCCAAGACACUUAGCUUGUUAAGAUUUGCCAAGGAUGUAGAGGGGUCCCCCCUAAAUUUGUUAUCUCUAAGGUAUAUCUCCGUGAGUUGUGUGAGGUUUCCAAUUGAAGAAGGAAUAUACCCAGAAAAAUGGCAAUGUGGAACUGAUAGGAUAAUCAAAGAACUAAGAUUUCGAAUGGAUACUGGGAGUGUGCCAUAGAAACCUGUUUUGUCAAGUAGUAAGUUGGUGAGUGAACUAGAUUGAAACUCAGGCAAACUACCAUUGAGAUUUGGAUUAUAUCCCAAAUCCAAAAUUUUCAAGUUUGGAAGAUGUAAUACUCCAACUGGAAAUUCGCCAUACAGCUCAGAAUUGUAAAGAGAUAGUUUUUUCAACGAAGUUAGAUUUGUGAGUGUGUUUGGUAAAGUAGAUGAAAUAGUCACAAAACUAAGAAAAAGGAUCUCGAGUUUUGUUGAGUUUUGAAUUAUGCUUUUGAGAAUGGACAAUUUGAGUUGCAGCAGAUUUUCUGUCGCCAUGAAGCCUAGAUCAAGAGACAACAACUUAGACAACUGUGAAACUUGUGGUGGAAUUUCUCCGGAAAAUAAACUACGAGAAAGGUUCAGAAAUUUUAGUUGUGAAAGCUCGCCUAUCUUGGAUGGGAUUUGAGAGUAAUUGAAGUCAUUGUCAGAAAGAUCAAGAACUCGAAGGUGCACAAGGCGAAAGAGACUGCUAUUUGCAUCCAUUGUACCAUAGAUUUGGCUGCUCCUAAGAUCGACGUGAAUCACAUGAUCUGUGCGCUCAUGACAUUUAAUGCCAUCCCAUGAGCAGCAAUCUGUGCUGGAAUUCCAAGAUGCUAUUUUUGGAGAACCAUGGGCUAAGUUAUUGAUGACAAAGCCUUCCUUAAAUUGCAACAAGGCAUGGCUUUCAUCACCAUGACACUUUGGAUGAAUUUGAGGAAAACAUGUAGUAAAUGUGAAAGAGAAAAGUGAAUAAAGGAAAAGAAAUUUUAGUAACAAAACAAGAGACCUGACAAACACCAUUUUAUCUUCCACAUAUUUCAUUUUCUGUCCAUUUAUGGUUUUCGCUUUCUAAUUUCAGUACAUUUGUCUCUAUUUGACUCAGCAAUUUCCUCUGAUUUUCUUCCUACUUGCAAUUUUGGAAAACAAUUUAAUAUUUUGACUUAGUCAAUUAUUCCUGUGCAAUUUUAUUUCGUAUUAGACAACAAUUUGUUUUUCCCUUUCAUAUACUCAAUAUUUUAUUAUUUGGUUGUAUGCAUAAAAACUUUAAUCUAGAACUGACUAUCAAUUUUAAGGCAUUGGAGCCUUCCAUGCAUUACCAAGAAGGCUACAUCAUUAAAUACUAAAUUGCUUUUAUUAUCUUUGAGAUUUCAUCUUAAUUGUUGAUAAUGAUAUUUCCAACGAAAUGAGUUAAGUUUUCACGUUCACAACAAAAACAACAUGAAAUUUUAUAAGGAUAAUGAUUUUUUAGUGCAAAACACCUUAAACGAAAUUCAACGAAGAGUUAUAACAUUAGUUUUGUUUCCAUCCAUCCAUCCAUGUAUUCCUUUAAAUGGAACUAUUUUAGUAUUAUUUUUAAUUAAAAAAAUAAUUUUGAUCGUAACUACCCCGUGUAUUCCGUAAACUGGGUGUAAAGUUAUUAGCUUCAAAUUAAAAAGGUACAAGUAUAGUGCAUCCCUUGCACACAUUCGUCACUUUUCGCACAAAAAGUUUUGCACCAUAUAUCAUUGUCCUUUUUAUAAUUGUAAAUUGGAUAUCCAAAAAUCGAUCCAAUCUAAACAUUUAGUUGGAUCAGAUUUUUGUCACAACAAAUUUCUUAAUCCCUAAUAUGCAUCAUUGAGAGAUUUUUUUGAAGGAAUGCAUAAUUGAGAGAUGUUAUGCAUCAUUGAGAGAUAAUCACCAAAGUUUCAAAUUAUGAGAAAUCUUUAGUACAAUUCCAUGUAUUCUCUGGUGAACUAAAAAAUGCUUAGAUUAGAUGGCACGAGUCUAUUCUAACUUCAUCAAGGUCCUGGGUUCGAAUCUAGCUAUGUUUGGGCAUGCAGUGUUAAAAACUUUAGGGAGAGUUUUCCUCCCAUUUGGGGGAGGAUUAGUCUUCUUCGAAGUUUCGCGCGUGAAAGAUACCCAGUUUACACACAAAAAAUGUAUUCUCUGGUGAAAAUAUGGGAGAUUAAUUUCUUAGUAGUGAAGGCAACGUGAAAGAAAAGUAGCAUAGCAUCCCAAUAAUUCUAGCAUAUCUCCCUAGUGUGGUAUAUGCAAGGACUAUAGCAUAGUUCACUAGUUGUAUUUGCCCUCUGAAAAAAUGUGGUAAUCUUCCUACUCCUUGGCCCUUUGAAAGACAUUAAGAAAGCAAUACCUACUUGCUUAGACCAAUCUGUCAAAGUUUAUUCCAUAUGAAAAUUUAUUACAAAUAUCACAAUUCACAACAUUCAAAUUCAAUAUAAGCGUUUUUAAAUCUGAACAUAAUUUAAUCAAAUUUGACAAAUGAUCUCCCAUCUAUAUUACAGAAGAUUUCACCAGCAUAAGAUUUAUUUGUAUCACAAUCUUCUAACCAGUGACUGUCUAGUACAAGCCAUAACAAUGAGUAAUUAGACUAAAAUAUAAAUACAACACUGUCAUGAACUCUCGACUUUUGAUGCUGAGCCACACAUUCUGAAAUCCACAUAAGAUUUCUGAUCUCCUGCUCCCUUAACCUCAUAUAGGCGAAGAACACAACAUAGUGAAACUGAAAACAUAGUCAAAUUAGGAUGGCUUAGUGAUGAAUAAGAUAUAAGAACACUAUACGAAAACAUUUAUAAUUAAGCAAAUGAAUUUCCUUCCAGCUUAAUAUUAUGAUAUUCUGAACUGUUAAAAAAACAAACCUGUUGCUCAAAUGCUAAGCAAUUCUUCUUGACUUCCUCCUCAUAGAUUUCCUUCCUUGUCAAGCAUCUGACUCUCUCCAUACGAUAACUUAUCAAAGAUGGAUUGAUAAGGAGGGCAUUUUUCCAUAACAGCACGAACCUACACGAGCAACCAUUUAAGAGAAUUAAGGCUCAAAAAGCAAUACUAAAAGAAAUAAACUAGAAAUCAAUUGAUGUUAUGGACAACUAUUAUAAUUCUCAAGUAUUUCAGGGCCGGUGCCAGCAAGAAAUUGGCAGCCAAAAGCAACUAAAAAUACAAAUGAAGUAACAGGCAAUCGAUGAAAGUUCUCAAAAAAUGAAAUGAAAGUUUCAAAGAGAGGUUAAGGUCAUACAACAGAACUUAAACCAAGGAUAAGAGGAAUAAUAUAGUUGCAACAUAUUACAUUGACAUGGCUACUAAUUUAGAAACAACUCUACCACCCUAAGAAACACAAAUUGAAAGACGGAAAACACAGACAGCAAGUUAUGGUAAUAUUCACAGCCCUCCUAUCGGCCUCAAAAGCUAGAAGGUCAGACAUUAUCUCAGCAGUAGCACCACCAAGUUUCUGUUUGUGAAUAACAUUGAAGACGUUGAUGAAAGUCAGGGGGAAAUCACAAGGGAAUACAAAUAAAUAGCUGACAAAAAAGAGAGUUGGACACUUCACCUGACAAAAAAGAGAGUUGGACACUUCACCUGACAAAAUCUGUAAAAGUCUUCAAGGUAUGCCUUGUAAAGAGUGUUCCUCAUUAUUUUGAUGUUCAUGUCAUCCAAGUCCUGAAAAUUAACCAAAACCAUGAGCACAUACAUCAAAAAAAUAAACCAAUUUCAUAUAAACAUAUUAGGUUAAAACGGAAAUUAUAAACUAUUAAAGUCAGUGAUGCCAUUGCAUAUAAUAUCAAAGUAUUGUCUUCCAGUGCCUUUCAGUUUUUGAUAAUUUUACAUUACAUUUUUUUAUUACAAUCUUUUUUUCUUACAACAAACAAUCUAUAUUGUAUAAUAAUUAGAGGGUAGAUAUAGAUAAUUUUCAGUUUCUGCAAUAGAACAACAAUUCUAUCAUGUGACCAUAUCUGCAGAGUAAAAAUGAAAAUACAUUCAUUUCAGAUUUUCUUACACACACAAUAAUGAUUUGAGAAAAUGAAAGGAAUGAAAUAUAACUGCAUGUCCGACACCAAACACGUUUUAAAUCUGAAGUUUCUGGUGUUACAUAGACUUGUGCUUCUAGUAAAUACACUGACAGAGCAAACAGAAAAUGCAAAGUUCAGAUACAUGAUAUAUUCUAAAAAUGUUGACAACGGUUCUGUAGCUUGGCAUGGCAUAUGCUUGACAAUGGUUUUGGAUGGUACUACAUCAUAUCAUUGAGUAUACACCCUUGUACUAAUAAUACACUGAAAAUUGAAUAAAUAAUUUAGGAAAUGUUUAUAAUUAUUAAACAAUCAAUUAAUCAAGAAACGAUAAUGUUGAGAACAAAUUGAGAUCAAAUUAAUCCGAAAAACAAAAAUGCCAAGUUAUGGAGAUAAGGAUCCUAGAAGAGACAUGCAUCUUGAUGUCAUCCUAACGCUGUUAAUACGCUUAUCUCUUUGUUCUUUAAAGCAAAUAUUCUACCAUUAGAUUUCAGCAUAAUGUUAGAGGGUUUUGGGUUACCAUAUGUUCAGUACGAAGUUUCCACUGUCGUUUACAAGUAACUAAUCUCCGUAGAAAAACUUGUGGUCAAACAAAGUGAGUUAUGAAUCAAAAUAAAGUGGGUCAAUCAAGUGUUUCACAUAUCAAUAUAAAUUUUUUGGAUUCUUAGUUUAGCCACAAUUUUAUGAAUUUAAUUUCACGUUUUCUUUCAAAUUCAAUUUGUUUUAGGCUGCAACCUAAAGAGAUCUAUCUACCUUGUUUGAUUUCUCAACACUAUCGGAUUCAGACCGCUAGGCACAUUACUCAUUUUGCUUCUUCUUAUGUUUAUGCAUUGAUGAUUACUUUUUUAUUUACUACUUUAUUCAGAGGCAUAUAUCAAUUACUAAAUUGGACCGAAGUUAAGCACCUUUAAUCAGUAAAGGAGACAGUCAUUUAUUUGUUUCUUUUUCUUCCUAAUUGGCUUAAUCCCUUCACUUAUAGACUCUCUUGAUAUCCUUAUACAUUUAAUGUAGAAAUUGAUUAAAUAUUGCAUCAUCUAGAAUGACUUCAAUGUUGGAGUAAAAAUAACUAGCAGGAAAAGAACACUAUAAAUAACAAUUCAAUUAUAGGCCACUAGAAUUAUACUUUUUGGGUUUUGAGAUUAAACCUCAUUGAAAUACCAAAAUAUAAUUCAAAGAAUGCUCUUGCUAUAAAUACAUAGAGUUUUUGGUGUUCAAACAACCUUUAGUUCAUAAUAUUAUAAGAACAAAAGGAAACUAAAGCAAAUAGAGAGGACUUAGAUGUUUAUUGCUUUGAAACUCCAGCAAAAAGUCCACCGCCAUACCCAAUCGGAACUGCUUUCCGUUCUACCCUGAACGAAUGUUGAGAGAAAGAUCUAGUGCUUCAAGGUUAGUUGUUUGAGAAGUUGAGCAAAACGAAACCUUUCAAGUCGCCUAUGACUUUUGGUAUCUCAUGGAGCUUUCUAGUUGAGCAAAGCUUGCAUGAUUAUUUUUCCUUGAAAUAUCAAUUGCAAUUGUAGUGCAAAACUCUUGGAGCCUAUCUAGAUGAUGAAGUCUUCCUUAUUGAUUCAAAAAGAUAAAGUCUUCCUUAAAUUGCAACAAGGUAUGGCUUCAUCUAUACGACACUUUGGUUGAAUUAAAGGAAAAACAUGUAGUAAUUAUGAAAGAGAACAAUGAGUAAAGGAAAAGAAACUGGACUAAAAAAACAAGAGACCACAGAAACACCAUUCUAUCUUAAUCUUUUAAACUGAAACAUUGAGAUAAAAUACUAGGCAUAUAUUAUUGAUAAUAAUUUUCAGGGAUGUUCAUCAAACUGAUUAGGAUUAAGUAGGACUUCUUCGUUCCGAUUUUCACAAUUUAAUUGCAGAACUAUUUUGUUUUUGUUAGGUUAAAUUGCUUAUAGUCAAUAUUCUUUGUGUUCUACUUUGCCUCUCUCAGUCAUCAAUGGAAAAUACUUUUGCUCCUUCAUGAAUGUCAUAAUUUUUUUUCAUUACUGGAAAAUAUUUUUGCUACUUCAAGAAAGGCUGUAAAUUGAUAACUUAAGGCAUAUAAGUUGUGGUAAAAGGAAACUAAAACAAAUAAGAACCAUACAAAGGAAACUCUUACAAUAUGCAAUUACAAGAAAACUCUUACAAUAUGCAAUUACAAGAACAGAAGAUAACUCUUACAAUAUGCAAUUACAAUUAUAAUUGCUUUUACAUAAAAUGGAAGACUAAGAUGUUUAUUGAGUUUGGACCCAAAAAAACACUCACUUAUGUCUCUUAAAAAUCUUAUUAAGCAAAAUUAUAACUGAAACGCCAAGGUAAUCUCUAUACCAUGUGUGAGAGUUAACUUAAAAUCAGAAUUCUGGAGUAUCGCGCCACGAUUGGUGAAGCAAAAUUCUGAGGAAGUUUCUGGAAAUUUCGUACCACGAUGGCUCCGUAUCGUGGCACGAUGGUCGCGCUGAAGAUAUUUUUAAAACGUAUUUUUUAGCAAGAUUUGUUUCAGUUUUUUAAGGGUUACUCUCCACUAUAAAUACAAGCCUUGAAAAACAAGGUUUAGAAGCCAACAUACAAACUAGGGUUUAUAGAGAUUUUCUCUUGGCAACAACUCUAGGGUUGGGAUUGUUGUUGAUUCACCUUGGACAAAACACUAUUAGGAUUGAGUCUCUUGGUCACGGGAAGAGGCUGGGACUUGGGUAGAAUUAGGUUUGAAGACUGAUUCUUGUAACUCAAUAUCUCUUUGUAAAGAAACUCAUAUCAUUAUAGUGGAUCGGAGAGCUGCUCUCUCCCCCAGACUAGGUCAUCAUUAGACCGAAUUGGGUAAACAAAUUCUUGUGUUCAUCUUCUUCUUCCUUUUAUCUCUUGCUGUUUUACUUUUGUUUGGAUUAAUUGCUAUCCACUUGAUUUGAUUGCUUGGUAUUAAUUUGCUCCACACAUCAAGUUUAUAUUGGUGUGUUUCUCAACGAAUUCACAACACCAUGCAAAUACCUGCAGAAAGUAAGUGUUUCCCAAUGCCACUCCAGCAACAAGUCCACCGCCAUAUCCAAUCAGAACUACUGUCCAGUAUAAUUCAAUGAAAGAUUUUGAGUCGUCAUCAUCAUCAUCAGAAGUAGAAGGCCCUGCAGGAUCUAUACACUUCUUUAACAGCUGAUCCCCACCUUUGAAUGUAGAAAACUGAUUAUUUUGUGGUAUAGGACCUGUAAGAUUGUUAAAUGACACAUUUAAGUAUUCCAAAAAGGUGAUUUGUGCCAACUGUUGGGGAAUUUUCCCUGAAAGACUGUUGAGAGAAAGAUCUAGUGCUUCAAGGUUUGAAAGCUUCCCUAAGGAAGAUGGAAUGCUGCCAAUAAGCAUAUUAUUUGACAAGUUUAGCAAAACAAGACCCUUUAAUUCGCCUAUCAUUUGUGGUAUCUCUCCGCUGAUUUUGUUGCUUGAAAUAUCAAUGGCUAUCAAGCUGUAAAAUUUUUGAAGCUUCUCAUAAACCCUGGCCAGUCCUUUGUUUGACAUUGUGAAAGAAUAAAACUUUUCUUCUAACGUAUGAUAUUUUCCUGCAUAGUUCGAUCUUAAGUAAGACUCGGUACUGUAACUGACUUGCAUUGGAAGUAUUCAUUGCUUUCCAACUUUGGAUCAUUUCUGUUGGAAAACUGCCAGAGAAAUCAUUGUGAGAAAGGUCAAGAAUGUGAAGUAUGGAAAAUGUGCAUGUCAUGUUGCCAGAGCACCUAAUGUCUCCAUGGAAUUCAUUGUUACUUAAAGACAAUACCUUCAACUCGGGUAACUCUCCCAUCCAGAAUGGAAAUGAAUCAUUGAUGUUGUUAUAACUAACAUCAAAGAAUUCCAGCCUUCUAUUGUUGACCAAAGCCCUUGGCAACUGACCCUGCAGAUUGUUGUUGCUAAGAUCAAUCUGUUGAAGGGAAUUUCCUAUCAUGUAUGUUUGAGGAAUGAGGCCAGAUAAUUUAUUCCCUUUUAGAUCCAGACUUUAUAAAUAUUGGCUAAAGUUCCCUAGACAUGAAGGAACAUUGCCGCUUAAGUUGUUGAACGAUAAAUCAAGUUGUGUGAGUGAUUUGAGAUUGCAUAUGGAUGGGGAUAUUUCUCCUGUCAAUGAAUUGUGGUUAGUGAGUGUAUUUAAUGCUUGAAUUCCAAGAUGUUGUUUUUGGAUAACUGAGAGGGUAAUGUUUGUCUUUUUAAUAUUAGUGAGUGUAUUUAAUGCUUAACAUUUGUUUACGAUGCUGUAUUUGUAAAAAUAUUCAAAAAACUUACAUUAAUUAAUAAUUAUAUUGGUUAAGAUGUUUUUUGGUUUUUCUUCUUAUAAUAAGGACACGAGAGAGUAUUUAUUUGUUCCUAUUCCUUCCCAAUUGGCGUAAGCCCUUCUAUUUGAGACUCUCUUGAUAACAUUUAUAUAGAAACAUAGGACAGGAAAGUCAUAACCAUAGGAGAGAGAUGUAGACCUUAUUGAUGCACAUGAAGUAACUUUGUGUAUUAAAUGAAAAGAAUGGUAAAUCGACGUACUUGAGUUUCAUAUUUAUAGGACUCUAUGACACUCAUCAUUUGUAACUCAAAUCUGAAUUACAACUAAUUUACAACCAAUGAGGCAGGGACAUCUCUAGCAUUAGCCGUGUCGCGGUGUCCAGCACACAUCGGUGUCUGAUACUCAUACCGAUGUCCUAAAAUAGUUUUUAUUUUUUAUUUUUGCUUUGACACUUCUUUCGAGUUCUUUGCUAAUGCUCACAACCAAAUCAUCCCUUCAUUUCUUUUUUCUGUUAAAAGAAAAUUGAAUAUAGGGCACCUGAGAUAAAUAGAGUGUUGGGUUUACGUGCUCCUGAGGUUAUUAAUGUUCAAAGAAGAAGAACACUACAUGAAUUGCCACACUUUGAUGGCUGGGAUGAUCUUGUGUCUGGGUUUCAAAUCUGAAAUGCCACUCAAGAAGGUAUUUACACUACUAUCAAUCUUGUAUGAAAAUGAAGUGAUUAGUUCUGGUGAGUUAAUUGCUUCAAACUUUAAGGAAAUCGUGGAUUCCAAACAUACUACACUACACUGGGACAUAACUGUCUGAUAAAUCUGCUUUGUGAACAAGAGAAGGUUCAAGUAGAAGCAAAUGAUAUUUUUGUGAAUUCAAAGGAGCCUAUUAAAUGACAAAGCAAUGUUGGUUUAUGAAAUGUACAUGCAAGAAGGAAGGACGAAAUCAAAGGGCACAUGAGGAGAAACCUCAGAUGAUGGAGGAGGAUCCUAUUUCACAAGCUCCACAUAAUCAUCCCGCCCACCUAUUCUUGAAGAUUAUAUGUAUGUGAUGCGAUGUGAUGGAAAACUAGGCUCAGGAUGCUUCUUCUCAACUAUACAUUGACCCUCUUUACUUUUCUCAAUGAUUCACGGAGGCAGCCAACCAACACCGCUAGAGACCUCGUAGAGGAAAUGCUUAACAGAGGUUUGGGAUUGAAGAGAAUAUGAGAGCCGAUAUCCAUUAGUAGAGGGGCAAGGCAGCUGAGAGAAAAAAAACAAUUGCAGGCUGACUUUUACAUGGUCAGAGGUGAGGAUCAUGAGAAUUUGGCGCUUGCCCCACCAGAGGAUUUCAUGUAAUCUGGGCACAUUGUCUAGCCCAUUUUCGAUCUUUUAUUUUCUUUUCUAUUUUCAGUAAUUUAUUUUGAUUUUGAGUUAAAACUAGGUGUUGCAAGUGUUUAUUUGGAUUUCAGUUGUAUUCUCCUAUCUUCUGUUCUGCAAUGUUCUUAUUUAUUAUUAAUGAAUUUUCUUGUUUUUCAAAUUUACUAGUUUAGUAAAAAUCAUUUCACCAUUAGUACUUCUAAAGUUCAUAAGGAGGAAGAUCCUUGCAUUGAUAUUCAGCGUUUGGAAUGAUUAGGUGGCUACAACUUCUGGAAAAUCUUAGCUUGUGAGGUUUGAGCCAAAAAAAAAUUCAAUUUGUUUCUACUUAUACAAUUGUUCCAUGCAACUGUCAUUUUUAGAACCUUUGAACUUGCAGCCUUUGUUAAGGAAAACUUAAGCUUUAGGUUAGAUCAUUUUGGUCAGUGACAAACUGCAUAACAAGCCUAGAGACCUUAGGAGAUUUUGACCCAAUUUCGUGUUGGAGUUAGGCAAUGUUAUUUUUUUUUUCUAUGCUUAAUUUCAAGUUUAGGGUUGCAGUUAGAACUAGCAAUGUUUAUGUUUGGGGUAGGGGUAGCAGAGAACCCAAGAGAUCACAAUGUUUUUCAAUUUUUUUUAAAUAUUGGACUAAUAUGUUUAUUGCUUUGGACUCAUAUGACCCUUUUAAGCUAUAACAUAAAAACAACUCACUAAUGUCUCUUAAAAAUCUUAUUAAGAAAUAAUGUAAAUGAAACGCCAAGGUAAUCUCUACACCAUUCAAAUACCUGCGGAAAGUAAGUGUUUCCCAAUGCAAAUCCAGCAACAAGUCCACCGCCAUAUCCAAUCAGAAGAACAGUCCAGUCUAAUUCAAAGAAAGAUUCCGAGUCGUCAUCAUCAACAUCAGAAGUAGAAGGCCCUCCAUGAUCUAUACACUUCUUCAACAACUGAUCCCCAUACAAACCUUGGUUACCCUCAAAUGAAUCAUCUUUGAAUGUAGAAAACUGAUUAUUUUGUGGUAUAGGACCUGUGAGAUUGUUAAAGGACACAUUUAAGUACUCCAAAAAGGUGAUUUCUGCCAACUGUUGGGGAAUUUUUCCUGAAAGACUGUUGAGAGAAAGAUCUAGUGCUUCAAGGUUUGAAAGAUUCCCUAAGGAAGAUGGUAUGCUGCCAAUAAGGUGGUUAUUUGACAAGUUGAGUAAAACAAGUCCCUUCAACUCGCCUAUAACAUGUGGUAUCUCUCCACUGAUUUUGUUGCUUGAAAUAUCAAUGGCUAUUAAGCUGUAGAAAUUUUGAAGCUUCUCAUAAACCCUUGCAAACCCUUUGUUUGACAUUGUGAAUGUAUAAAACAUAUUUUGUGUUGUAUGAAUUGGUCCUGCACUGUUCAAUGUCGAGUAAGAUUCAUACUGUAAUUGACUUGUGUUGGUAGUUUUCAUUGUUUUCCAUCCUUGGAUCAUUUCUGAUGGAAAACUUCCAGAGAAUUCAUUGUGAGAAAGGUCAAUGAUGUGAAGCUUGGGAAAUGUGCAUGUCAUGUUGCCAGAGCACCUAAUGUCUCCAUGGAAUGCAUUGUUACUUAAAGACAAUACCUUCAACUCGGGUAAAUCUUUCACCCUGCAGAUUGUUGUUGUUGAAAUCAAUCAUCUGAAGGGAACUUCCUAUCAUGUAUGUUUGAGGAAUGAGGCCAGACAAUUUAUUCCCUUUUAGCAUUAUAUUUUCUAAAGAUUGGCUAAAGUUACCCAGACAUGAAGGAAUGUUGCCGCUUAAGUUGUUGAUCGAUAAAUCAAGAGUCACGAGUGAUUUGAGAUUGCAUAUGGAUGGGGGUAUUUCUCCUGUCAAUGAAUUGUGGGAAACAAGUAAGCUUAUUAGACUUGCUUUUUUCCACAACCAAUUGGGCAGCAAUGUCAUAUUGUUGUUUGACAACAUAAGAAAUUCCAGAUCAGGCAUGUCUCUUAUAAAUGUUGGAAUCUCAACUAAAUUGCAUGAAGCCAAUUGUAAGACUCGAAUUUGAGAAUCGGUCCUAUGGGAAGAACUUUUUCCACUAUACAAUGACAAUUUGUUGAAUGAUAAAUCUAGAAAAACUAGCUUUUUGAGGUUCAGAAAUGUGUCAAGCUCUAGCUUUCCAUGCAAAAAAUUAGAGCGUAGGCUCAAGUAAGCUAAAUUUGCUAGAUUCAUUAUCCAUGAUGGAAUUUCACCCUUUAUAUUGCUAUUUGUUGCACCUAGAAGUUCUAGUUGGGUGAGAUUUGCAAAAGAUAAUGGGAUGUCACUGCCAAUAUUGACUGAGGAUAUAUCCAAGGAAGUUAAUGAUGAGAGCUUACCGACCCAUGAGAUGGUCUCAAUAGUAAAUUCAUUCCAAGCAACACUCAACAUGCUUAGUUGGGUAAUAUUUGCCAAGGAUGCAGAAGGGUCACCCCUAAAUUUGUUAUUAUCAAGGUAUAUCCCCCUGAGUUGUGUGAGGUUGCCAAGUGAAGUAGGAAUAUUUCCAAAAAAAUGGCAUUCUGGAAUUGAUAGAAUAACUAAAGAAUUAAGCUUUCCAAUGGAUACUGGCAGUGCACCAGAGAAACCUGUAUGAUCAAGUGCUAACCUGGUGAGUGAACUAGACUGAAACUCAGGCAAACUACCAUUGAGAUUUGGAUUAUAUCUCAAAUCCAGAAGUUCCAAGUUUGGAAGAUGAAAUACUCCAACUGGAAACUCUCCAUACAAUUCAGAAUUGUAUAGAGACAGUGCUUUCAACGAAGUUAGAUUUGUGAGUGUAUCUGGUAAAGUAGAUGAAAUUGUUACAUGACUAAGAUGAAGGGUCUCAAGUUUUGUUGAGUUUUGAAUUAUGCUUUUGAGACUGGAUAAUUUGAGUUGCAGCAGAUUGUCUGUAGCUCUGAAGCCUAGAUCAAGAGACAACAACUUGGACAACUGUGAAACUUGUGGUGGAAUUUCUCCAGAAAAGAAGCUCAGGGAAAGGUUCAGAUGUUUUAAUUGUGAAAGCUCACCUAUCUUGGAUGGGAUUUGAGAGUAAUUGAAGUCAUUGUCAGAAAGAUCAAGAACUCGAAGGUGCACAAGGCGAAAGAGACUGCUAUUUGCAUCCAUUGUACCAUAGAGUUGGCUGCUACUAAGAUCAAUGUGAAUCACAUGGUCUGUGUGCUCAUGACAUUUAAUGCCAUCCCAUGAGCAACAAUCUGUGCUGGAAUUCCAAGAUGAUGUUUUAGGAUAACCAAGAAGAUCAUCAGAGGCUAAGUUAUUGAUGACAAAGCCUUCCUUAAAUUGCAACAAGGCAUGGCUUUCAUAUUGAUGACACUUUGGCUGAAUUUGAGGAAAACAUGUAGUAAAUGUGAAAGUGAAAAGUGAAUACAGGAAAAGAAAUUUUAGUAACAAAGCAAGAGACCUGACAAACACCAUUGUAUAUUUUAAUAUUUUGAACUGAAUGUUUUGGAUGAAAUGCUAGACACAUAGUAAGUGAUUCUUAUAGUAAAUGAAAAUGUUUUGUAGUGAAUUUGAUUAUCAUUGACCGUGCAUUUUGGUUUAGGACUAACAUCAUAAGUCUAUAUCUUGGCUCAGCCCAUUGGAGAGGCUAACUUGAUCAACUCCAAAAAUACAAGACUUUGAUGUAACAUAAUAUAAUCUCUAAUCAAAUUAUGUGGGCCAAUCCAAUACACAAGGUCUAUUUGAUGUUUUAUCAUGUAGUGAGGCUUUCUUAUCUUCCACAAAUUUCAUUUUCUGUCCAUUUAUGGUUUUUGCCUUCUAAUUUCAGUACAUUUGUCUCGAUUGUUUGACUCAGCAAUUUCCUCUAAGUUUCUUGCUACUUGCAUCUUUGGAAAACAAUUUAAUAUUUAGACUUAGUCAAUUGUUCCAGUGGAAUUUUAUUAUCUCAACAUUUUAUUAUUUGGUUGUAUGCAUAGAACUUUAAUCUAGAACUGAGUAUCCAUUUAAGAGCUUGCACAAAAAUAUUGAAUAUAAUUUUAAAAAGUUAAGCAUGCGUAAUUGAAAAAACUUCAGUUUUAUAUAAUAUGUUCAGUAGUAAAAACUUCAGUUUUAUCUUGAUCUUGUCAAAAUGCAGUUUUAUCUGUCAUUGUUUAGAAUCAUCCAUUAAAAUUAUAUAAUAAAAAAAUUUGUACAGUCCUAAUGUAUACUUUUGAAAUUUAACAAGUCUUUUCUUUAUGUUAAGGUCAGUCUUCUAGAAGUACAGGUUAAGGUCAUAUAACAACACUUAAAUCAAAAAUAAGAAAAAUAAUAUAGUUGUAGCAUAUUACACUGACUUGGAUAAUAAUAACAACAAAUUUACCAACCUGAGAAACACAAUCUACAAGGUCUAAAGAAGCAUACAAAUUGAAAGAGGAAAAACACAGUUUAUCUAACUAUGUAUUAACCUAACAUAUCACACAACUGAGAUGCAUAUCAUAGCUGAUCAAUGUCCUCACAGACAGCAAGUUCCUCAUGACCAUAUGGAUAGCUGUUUAAAAUAAGUCAACCAUUAGUAAAAGAAGUGUCAAAAAGCAGUAUAUUGAUUUUAUUUUUCUUUUUUUAAAAAUAUAUAGCUGAAAGAUUAGAGCUUACAACAAACCGAAGUUGGAGUACAAUUUCCUACGGUCAUCUUCGGUAAGCUCAGUACCAAUGCUGCACAAAGCGGAAACCAUGAGAUGCUAGUUAUGUGGAUGUCCAGAUAAACAAAAAGAUUAUACAAAGACUGGUUAGUAAUUUUUACCUAGUUAUGGUAAUAUUAACAGCCCUUCAAUCAGCCUCAAAAGCUAGAAUGUCGGACAUUAUCUCAGCAGUAGCACCACCAAGUUUCUGUUUGUGAAUAAAAUUUAAGUUGAUGAAAUUCGGGUUAGAUGAUUUACCUCUGAUGUAAUGCACUCAGAGAAGUAUGGAGCCAGAGGAGUGUCAACAAGAACCAGCCUGUAAAGCUCCCGCAUAUUCUGAGCAACUGCCAGAGUUGCAAUGCUGAGGAGAAUCCCACCGAAAAGAAGAAAAAACAGAAGUAAAAUCAAUAUUCUAUGUGCCGUAACUAAGGUCUCUUUCUAGGCUAAAAAAAGUUCAAUAUAUAUAGGCUCAAAGUCUUUCUAGUUUGGUAAUAGAGAAAAAAAAGAUAUGUAGUUUGAUGAAUGUCUCUUUCUUUGCAUUCCCCUCAAUCACAAUGCUUUCAAACAUCCGUAACUAAGGUUGACUUCAGCCCUGGUGUUAGGAACAAGUACUUGAGCUUUGAAAUCAACUUUUAUUGGAUUGCUUCUUCAAAAAAAAAACUUUUAAUGGAUUGGAAGAACUAAAAAGAAACUGAUGCAAUUCAAAAGGUAAAACGAAUUUCAAAAUCAGCAUUACAAAAAGUCAUCAUAAUGUAUAUACCUAGGACUCAGUAGAAAUUUAAAAAUUGAUUGAAUUUUUGAAAUAAUUAAAAGACUAGACUUGUGGGUUGUCUCCCAAGAAACGCGUGUUUAACAUCUCGAGCUUGACGAACCAACACUCUUGUCAGGGUGGAUAUUUAAACAUGUAAUCAACAAUGCUAUUCUUUUUCUUCUUUGUGAGAAGAAUGUUGAUACACUUUGCAUAAGGUAUUAGUCUCACUUGUUCAAAGUUUAUGAACCUUUUCCACCUAUUUUUCCAUUCGUUCUUUCUCUUCUAUGGUGUUUUGUUUUAAGAGAUGUGAUUGAUGCUUGUCCACACCUUAUCUUUCUCCAAAUGAUAGAAUUCACCGGUCACCUCAAUCUGAAUCCAGCCCUUGUCAGUUGUUUUUUAUCACCGAGAAUCAUCAUCAUUGAAUUGCAUUGUGUCGAACACAUUGUUGGAUACUUGCUCAUCAAAUUCCGCUUUUGCUUUCAAAUUCAACUAGUUUUGAUUGUAAACCUAAAGAGAUCAAUCUACUUUGUUUGAUUUCUCAUCACUAUCAGAUUCAAACCAGGUAGCCAUUUACCUAUUUUUCUUCUUCUCAUGUUCAUGCACCAAAGAUUAAUUUUUUAUUUUAAUGGUUAUUUACUACUUUAUUCAAAGGUAUAUAAGUUGCUAAAUUGUAUUUUGUUUCACAUUGCAGUUGAUUAUAACUAAACAUUUGUAUUCUUGGUAUCUGAAAAGCAGAUUCAUCUUUGUCUGUAUUAGUUAUCCAUUAUUGCAUUUGUUUGUCACUUAAGUUGUUUUUUUUUGCUCUAAAGUCAACUUCCAUAAAAAAUGCUUCAUUUUGCUACCAUAGUAUACAUCAUAUAAUCACUUUUUUUUUUCUGCAAUGCCACCAGCCCAAAGACCUAACAGGUCACAUUUUUCCGCAUCACCAAAACUACUUUAUUUCAUACCAACAACAAUUAGUAUACAUACAAAGCAUACUCUUAGGCUUUGUUUGCGAGUUUUGAGGGGAAGGAAAGGAAAGGCUAAGGAGGGGAAGGGAAGGAAAGGGAGGGAAGGGAGAAAGGAGGGAAAACCUUCCCCUUGUUUGGGAGUUAAAAAGCCAACAAGGAAAGGAGAUGGAGGACUUAUGUUAUAAUUUUACUAUUUUACCCUUUUUCCUCUUAAAAUCAAUAUAUUGUUAUACUUCGUAAUUUAACUUUUAAUUUAUUCAAAACAACUUAUCGCAUGAAAAACAAAUUAUUAAGAUCUAUUUUAAAAAACAACUUAUUUAUAAAAAAAAAAAAAAAAAAAAAAAACUUAUUACAAUCACUUUUUAAAAACAACUUACUUAUACAAAACAACUUAUUACGACCUCUUUUUAAAAAUAGCUUAUCUUAUGAAAAACAAAUUAUUAAGAUCUUUUUUUAAAAAACAACUUAUUCAAAAUAGCUAAUUUAUACAAAACAGCUUAUUAUGACCUCUUUUCAGAAAAACAGCUUAUUCAAAACAGCUUAAUACAAUCUCUUAUUCAAAAACAACUUAUCCAAAAUAGUUUAUCUAUAUAAAACAGCUUAUUACGACCUCUUUUCAAAAAACAACUUGUUCAAAACAGCUUAUUUAUACAAAACAACUUAUUCAAAACAGCUUAAUACGAUCUCUUUUUCAAAAACAGCUUAUUCAAAACAGCUUAUUUAUACAAAAUAGCUUAUUACGACCUCAUUUUCAAAAACCGCUUAUUCAAAACAACUUAUUUAUACAAAACAGCUUAUUACGACAUCAUUUUCAAAAACAGCUUAUUCAAAACAGCUUAUUUAUACAAAACAGCUUAUUAUGACCUCAUUUUUAAAAAUCGCUUAUUCAAAACAACUUAUUUAUACAAAACAGCUUAAUAUGACCUCAUUUUCAAAAACAGCUUAUUCAAAACAACUUAUUAUGCAAAACAGCUUAAUACAAUCUCUUUUACUAAAACAGCUUAUUCAAAAUAGCUUAUUUAUAUAAAACAGCUUAUUACGACCUCAUUUUCAAAAACCGCUUAUUCAAAACAACUUAUUUAUACAAAACAGCUUAUUACGACCUCUUUUUCAAAAACAGCUUAUUUAUACAAAACAGCUUAAUAUGAUCUCUUUUUCAAAAACAGCUUAUUCAAAACAGCUUAUUUGUACAAAAUAGCUUAAUACGACAUCAUUUUCAAAAACCGCUUAUUCAAAACAACUUAUUUAUACAAAACAUCUUAAUAUGACUUCAUUUUACAAAAUAGCUUAUUCAAAACAACUUAUUUAUGCAAAACAGCUUAAUACGACCUCAUUUUCAAAAACGGCUUAUUCAAAACAGCUUAUUUAUGCAAAACAGCUUAAUACGAUCUCUUUUUCAAAAACAGCUUAUUUAUACAAAACAGCUUAUUACGACCUCAAUUUCAAAAAUCGCUUCUUUAAAACAAUUUAUUUAUACAAAACAGCUUAAUACGACAUCAUUUUCAAAAAUCGCUUAUUCGAAACAACUUAUUUAUACAAAACAGCUUAUUACGACCUCAUUUUCAAAAAUCGCUUAUUCAAAACAACUUAUUUAUACAAAACUGUUUAUAACGACCUCAUUUCAAAAACCUCUUAUUCAAAACAAUUUAUUUAUGCAAAACAACUUAUUAUGUCCUCUUUUCAAAAAAUAACUUAUUCAAAACAGCUUAUUUAUGCAAAACCGCUUAUUACGAUCUCUUUUUUAAAAACAACUUAUUCAAAAAAACUUAUUUAUGCAAAACAACUUAUUAUGAUCUCUUUUUCAAAAACAACUUAUUCAAAACAACUUAUUUAUUCAAAACUUUUUUUGUAAAAAUAAGUUAUUUUGAAUAAGCUGUUUUUUGAAAAGAUGUCGUAAUAAGUUGUUUUGCAUUAAUAAGUUGUUUUGAAUAAGCUGUUUUUUGAAAAUAGGUGAUAAUAAGCUGUUUUGGAUAAGUAAGCUGUUUAGAAUAAGUUGUUUUUGAAAUAUAGAUUGUAUUAAGCGAUUUUUGACUAAGCAGAUUUUGAAAAUGAGGUCAUAAUAAGCAGUUUUGUAUAAAUAAGUUGUUUUGAAUAAGCGGAGUUUGAAAAUGAGGUCGUAAUAAGCUGUUUUUAUAUAAAUAAGCUGUUUUGAAUAAGCUGUUUUUGAAAGAAAAAAAAUCGUAUUAAGCUGUUUUGCAUAAAUAAGUUGUUUUGAAUAAGCUAUUUUUUAAAAUGAAGUCAUAUUAAGCUGUUUUGUAUAAAUAAGUUGUUUUAAAUAAGCGAUUUUUGAAAUUGAGGUCGUAAUAAGCUGUUUUGUAUAAAUAAGCUGUUUUUGAAAAAGAGAUCGUAUUAAGCUGUUUUGCAUAAAUAAGCUGUUUUGAAUAAGCCGUUUUUGAAAAUGAGGUCGUAUUAAGCUGUUUUGCAUAAAUAAGCUGUUUUGAAUAAGCUAUUUUUUAAAAUGAAGUGAUAUUAAGCUGUUUUGUAUAAAUAAGUUGUUUUAAAGAAGCGAUUUUUGAAAUUGAGGUCGUAAUAAGUUGUUUUGUAUAAAUAAGCUGUUUUUGAAAAAGAGAUCGUAUUAAGCUGUUUUGCAUAAAUAAGCCGUUUUUGAAAAUGAGGUCGUAUUAAGUUGUUUUGCAUAAAUAAGUUGUUUUGAAUAAGCUAUUUUUUAAAAUGAAGUCAUAUUAAGCUGUUUUUUAUAUAAAUAAGUUGUUUUAAAUAAGCGAUUUUUGAAAUUGAGGUCGUAAUAAGCUGUUUUGUAUAAAUAAGCUGUUUUUGAAAAAGAGAUCGUAUUAAGCUGUUUUGCAUAAAUAAGCUGUUUUGAAUAAGCUGUUUUUCGAAAAAGAGAUCGUAUUAAGCUGUUUUGCAUAAAUAAGCUGUUUUGAAUAAGCUGUAUUUGAAAAUGAGGUCUAUUAAGGUGUUUUGCAUAAAUAAGCUGUUUUUGUAAAUGAGGUCGUAAUAAGCUGUUUUGUAUAAAUAAGUUGUUUUGAAUAAUCUGUUUUUGAAAAAGAUAUCGUAUUAAGCUGUUUUGCAUAAAUAAGUUGUUUUGAAUAUGUUGUUUUUAAAAAAAAUAUAUCGUAAUAAGCUGUUUUGUAUAAAUAAGCUGUUUUGAAUAAGCUGUUUUUGAAAAAGAGAUCGUAUUAAGCUGUUUUGCGUAAAUAAGCUGUUUUUGAAAAAGAGAUCGUAUUAAGCUGUUUUGCGUAAAUAAGCUGUUUUUGGAAAAGAGGUCGUAAUAAGCUGUUUUGUAUAAAUAAGAUGUUUCGAAUAAGCGGUUUUUGAAAAUGAGGUCGUAAUAAGCUUUUUAUAUAAAUAAGCAGUUUUGAAUAAGCUGUUUUUGAAAAAGAGAUCGUAUUAAGAUGUUUUGCAUAAAUAAGUUGUUUUGAAUAAGCUGUUUUUGAAAAUGAGGUCCUAUUAAGCUGUUUUGUAUAAAUAAGUUGUUUUCAAUAAGCUGUUUUUGAAAAUGAGGUCGUAAUAAGUUGUUUUGCAUAAAUAAGUUGUUUUGAAUAAGCUGUUUUUGAAAAUGAGGUCCUAUUAAGCUGUUUUGUAUAAAUAAGUUGUUUUGAAUAAGUUGUUUUUAAAAAAGAUUGUAAUAAUUUUAGUAAGGUCUAAAAUUGGAAUUUUGAAUUAUUAAGAGGGCAAAAUUGUCAAUUAGUAUGUUUAACCCCCCAAAACCCUCCAAUUUGGGGGAACUUUAAAAUUGGACAAAUUAAACCCUUCAAAACCCCCCAAAACCUUUCCCUUGUUUUUUUAAAACUUGCAAACAAGGGUUACCACUCCAUAAGCCUUUCCUUCCCUUCCCCUCCCCUUCAAAAUUCAACUCCCAAACAAAGCCUUACUAAAGGAAAGCACAACAACAACAAAAACACAAGGAAUUUCAACUCAUAAGAUCCUUUUUUUUAAGCCAACUAAGUACUUGCAGAAAGAAAGUGCUUCCCACUGCCAUUCCAGCAACAAGACCACCUCCAUACCCAAUAAGCACUAUUUUCCAAUCAAAUUCAAACAAUGAUCCUGAAUCCUCGUCAUCAUCAUCGUCAUCAGAGGUAGAAGGACCUCCAUGAUCUAUACACUUCUUCAACAACUGAUCCCCACACAGACCUUGAUUACCCUCAAAUGAAUCACCUUUGAACGUAGAAAACUGAUUAUUUUGUGGUAUAGGACCUGUGAGAUUGUUAAAGGACAAAUUUAAGAACUGCAAAAAGGUAAUUUGUGCCAACUGUUGGGGAAUUUUCCCUGAAAGACUGUUGACAGAAAGAUCUAGUGCUUCAAGGUUUGAAAGCUUCCCUAAGGAAGAUUGAAUGCUGCCAAUAAGGAGGUUAUUAGAGAAGUUGAGCAAAACAAGGCCCUUCAACUCGCCUAUGCCUUGUGGUAUUUCUCCACUGAUUUUGUUGCUUGAAAUAUCAAUGGCUAUUAAGUUGUAAAUUUUUUGAAGGUUAUUGUAAACCAUGGCCACCCCUUUGUUUGACAUUGUGAGCGAAUAAAACUUUUCUGUUGACGUAAAAUAUUGUCCUUCAUUGUUCGACGUCGAGUAAGACUCGUACUGUAAUUGACUUGCGUUGAAAGUAUUCAUUGCUUUCCAACUUUGGAUCAUUUCUGUUGGAAAACUUCCAGAGAACUGAUUGUGAGAAAGGUCAAUGAUGUGAAGUUUGGAAAAUGUGCAUGUCAUGUUGCCAGAGCACCUAACGUCUCCAUGGAAUUCAUUGUUACCUAAAGACAAUACCUUCAACUCAGGUAAAUCUCCCAGCCAGAAUGGAAAUGAAUCAUUGAUAUUAUUGUAGCUAACAUCAAAGAAUUCUAGAAUUCUGCUGUUUACCUUUUAGAUCCAGACUUUCUAAAGGUUGGCUAAAGUUCCCUAGACAUGAAGGAAUGUUGCCACCUAAGUUGUUGAACGUGAAAUCAAGCAUCACGAGUGAUUUGAGAUUGCAUAUGGAUGGGGAUAUUUCUCCUGUCAAUGAACUAUGGGAAACAUCUAAGCUUUUUAGCCUUGCUUUUUUCCACAACCAUUCAGGUAGCGAUGUUAUAUUGUUGUUUGACAACGUAAGAAAUUCCAUCUCAGCCAAAUCUCUUAUAAAUGUUGGAAUCUCAACUAAAUUGCAUUCAGCCAACUGUAAUAUUUGAAGUCCAGAAUUUGUUAAAUGGGAUGAAUUGUUUCCACUUAACAAUGACAGUUUGUUAAAUGAUAAAUCUAAAAAAACUAGCUUUUUGAGAUUCAGAAACGUGUCAAGCUCAAGCUUUCCAUGCAGAAAAUUAGAGUGUAGGUUCAAGUAAGCUAAAUUGGUUAGAUUCAUUAACCAAGAUGGAAUUUGACCCUUUAUAUAGCUAUUUGUUGCACUUAAUACUUCUAGUUGCGUGAGAUUUGCGAAAGAUAAUGGGAUAUAUCCAAGGCAAAUAAUGAUGAAAGCUUAUCUACCCAUGAGAAGGUUUCAAUAGUAAAUUCAUUGAAACCAACAUUCAAGAGGCUUAGCUUGGUAAGAUUUGCCAAGGAUGCAGAAGGGUCACCCCUAAAUUUGUUAUUUUUGAGGCUUAUCUGCUCAAGUUGUGUGAGGUUUCCAAGCGAAGAAGGAAUAAAUCCAAAGAAACGGCAAUCUGGAAUUCCUAGGACAAUUAAAGAACUAACCUUUCCAAUGGAUACUGGUAGUGUACCAGAGAAACCUGUCCCACCAAGUGCUAAUUCAGUGAGUGAACUAGACUCAAACUCAGGCAAUCUACCAUUGAGAUUUGGAUUAUAUCUCAAAUCUAGAAGUUCCAAGUUUGGAAGAUGAAAUACUCCAACUGGAAAUGCACCAUACAAUUCAGAAUUGUAAAGAGAUAGUUUUUUUAUGAAGUUAGAUUCGUGAGUGUGUCUGGUAAAGUAGAUGAAAUAGUUACAAAACUAAGAAAAAGGAUCUCAAUUUUUGUUGAGUUUUGAAUUAUGCUUCUGAGACUAGACAAUUUGAGUUGCAACAAAUUGGAUGUACUACCUUUAGGACGUACUAUAGCUCUGAAACCUAGAUCAAGAGACAACAACUUGGACAACUGGGAAACUUGUCGUGGAAUUUCUCCAGAAAAUAAGUUAAGAGAAAGGUUCAAAAAUUUUAGUUGUGAAAGCUCACCUAUCUUGGUAGGGAUUUUAGAGUAAUUGAAGUUAUUAUCAGAUAGAUCAAGAACUCGAAGGUGCACAAGGCGAAAGAGACUGCUAUUUGCAUCCAUUGUACCAUAGAGUUGGCUGCUACUAAGAUUGAUGUGAAUCACAUGAUCUGUGUGCUUAUGACAUUUAAUGCCAUCCCAUGAGCAGCAAUCUGUGCUGGAAUUCCAAGAUGAUGUUUUAGGAUAACCAAGAAGAUCAUCAGAGGCUAAGUUAUUGAUGACAAAGCCUUCCUUAAAUUGCAACAAGGCAUGGCUUUCAUAUUGAUGACAUUUUGGCUGAAUUUGAGGUAAACAUGUAGUAAAUGUGAAAGAGAGAAGUGAAUAAGGAAAAAAAAAAUUACAAACAAAACAUGAGACCACACAAACACCAUUGUAUUUGAAUAUUUUGAAAUUGGUCUUUUGGAUGAAAUGCUAGACACAAACAUGUUUUGAAUACUAUAGGAAUGGACUGCAUAUAACAAAUGAAAAUGAUUUCUAGUGAACUUGAUUAUCAUUGACCAAAAAAAACUUUGUUUUCUAUUUUCUAGACAUUUGGCUAUUAUUUGACUCAGCAAUUUGCUCUGAUUUUCUUGCUACUUGCAUUCUUGGAAAACAAUUUAAUUGACUUCAAUCUAGAACUGACUGUCCAUGUAAGAGCUUGCACAAAUUUAUUGAAAAUUUAUAUCAAAGCACGCUCUUUCAAACAACCUUUAUUGCUUUUACAUACAUAGGAAACUCUUACAGAAUGCAAUUACAAGAACAGAAGGAAACUAAAACAAAUUAGAAACAUAAAUAGGGAGGACUAGUAUGUUUAUUGUUUUGGACUCACAACACCCUUUUAAGCCAUAAAAUAAUAACAACUUUAAUGUCUCUUAAAAAUCUUAUUAAGGAAAAUUAUAACUGAAACGCUAACGUGAUCUCUAUACCAUGCAAAUACCUGCAGAAAGUAACUGUUUCCCAAUGCCACUCCAGCAACAAGACCUCCUCCAUACCCAAUAAGCACUAUUUUCCAAUCAAUUUCAAAGAAAGAUCCCGAGUCAUUGUCAUUAUUAGAGGUAGAAGGUCUUGCAUGAUCUUUACACUUCUUCAACAGCUGAUCCCCACACAAUCCUUGGUUACCCUCAAAUGAAUCACUUUUGAAUGUAGAAAACUGAUUAUUUUGUGGUAUAGGACCUGUGAGAUUGUUAAAGGACACAUUUAAGAACGCCAAAAAGGUGAUUUCUGCCAACUGUUGGGGAAUUUUUCCUGAAAGACUGUUGCGAGAAAGAUCUAGUGCUUCAAGGUUCGAAAGCUUCCCUAAGGAAGAUGGAAUGCUGCCAAUAAGGUGGUUAUUUGACAAGUUGAGCAAAACAAGACCCUUCAACUCGCCAAUCACUUGU